CGUACAGUUUCAGUACACAAAAAUGUUAAAUACGAAUAAUUUCCUCCAAAGUUUAUUAUAUAUAUAUUUUUUUAUUGUCAAAAGUGUAUGCAAACAUUCAUAGUAAAAAAAAAAAAGCACUACGAAAACCCAAAAGGACAUAUCAGUCACGUCCUCCUUAUUGUUGCGGUUGUCUUUAUAUCUUUUUAAGUAUGGUUUGAGUGUUACUGAAUUACAACUAAAUGGACAAAAGGGAAGGCAGAGAAUGUGAAGAGGUGAGUUCCCAUUUUCAUUCUUUCCCCUGUGAAUGUUUACUGCCCCUCCUAACCCUUUUAUUCUCUGCCCUCUCCCUCUCUCUCUCUUCCUAAAAAUAGUAGCUCUGGGGAAAAAAAAGAUACUGCGGGAAGUUCAGUUAGUAGAAAAUCAGGGAUGGCCAGGGAUCUAGGAAAAAUCGAAGAAGGUUAAAGCACAGAGAGAGAGCCAGGUUGGCAGAUGUGAAGGGGACGGAACGAAGAGUGCAAGAAAGAGGACAUAGAGGAGGCAGCAGCGACCCGGGAGAGGAGAAAGGAGGGGAGGGAUGGAUGGAUGAAAGCAAGCAAGAAAGGAAGGAAGCAAGGAGGCAGGCAGCGUUAGGCAGACCCAUUCAGAAUGAUCGUGAAAUAAGUGAUAACAGAAACACCCAGAAAGUGAUAAAGGAGCAAAGGUUGCGGUAAAGGAAGCAAAGAAGGCAGCAUUACGAACAAAGAGAGAGGAGAUCAGAAUAAAA